ACACGAUAAGGGCAAAUCCGUCGAAAGGCGGAGACGCAAAGCCACGGGUCUAAAGCCGAAAGGUUAUGGCAGCCGGGUUGCCGAA
rfam:Dehalobacter sp. CF, complete genome.